CCUGUCCUUCACUUCCCCUCCCCUCCCCUCUCUUUUGCCCCCAUCCACUACCAUUCCCCCUUGCUUUAAGGGAAACUUACCUUUCCUGCUCUUCACUGACUUCUUGAUUCUCGUGGCUUUGGCUGCUAUUUGCCUUGCUUUCCUUUGCUCUGCUAUGCAUUGCUUUCUCUGUAUUUCUUGCCAUCCACUCCUUCCUUUGAGUUAUUCUUUACUUUUUCACUUGGCUUUUUUCUUCUUUUCUCUUUACCUUUCUUCUCUUGUCAUUAUUCGGUUUUUUUGUUUUUUCUGUUUUCAUCUAUUAGUUUUCUUUCUUUCUUUUUCUUUUUUCAUAUUUUUCUUUUCUCUUUUUUUUUCUAUUUUCUCUUUUUUUUUUCUCUUUUCUUUUUUUCUUUUCUUCUUUCUUUUUUCUUUUUUGUUCAUUUUCUUUUUUUUCUUUUUCUUUUUUUUCUUUUUAUCUUUUUUCUUUUUCAUUCUUUUUCUUUUUCUUUUCAUUUUUUCUCUUUUUCUUAUUUUUCUUUUCUUUUUUCUCUUUUUUCAUAUUUUUUGUUCUUAUUUUUUCUUUUCUUUUCUUUUUUCAUCACAGGUUUGCCUUCAGCCCUCCCCUCAGCCCUUCCCUCCGCUCUGCUCUUCACCCAUCCCCUCCCCUCCCCAUCCCCUCUUUCUCCCUUACCCUCCCCUUUCCCUUGCCUUUGCCUCCCAGUACCUUGCCUGCCCUUCACUUACCUUCUCCUCACUUCCUGCUUCUUGAUGCUAUGGGCUUUUGCUGCUACUCACGCCAAACCCCAACACUUGCCUACUCUGCGUGCUGCUCUGCCAAGUUGCUCUCUACUCUGCUCACAGCUUCACGCCUACUGCCUGCCCUUCUCUGUCCCCUUCUCGUGCCCUUCACGCUUUUCCUCCCCUUGCUGAGCAAGGCCAUGCCCGGUAGCUACCCUUGAACCUCCUCCGCCCUUUGCCUUCCUCCACAGAGAUGCUUGCUUCUGGCCAGCACUCCUGCCCGGUGCCUAGCCCACACACCUCAUCUCUUGGGGAGAUAGCAAGCUGGCCUGUAGCUACCCACACCUCCUCCCGGGCAUGGCUUCUCAGCUUUGCUUCAAGCCCAGAACCCAAAGGAGCUCCUCUUACCUUUUGGCCCACAUUCUUCUCCUCCCGCGCAGCUCCUGUGGCAAGCAGGGGCACAGCUCUGGCCAGAGUCCUCCAUUCCUGCAAGGUUGCUUUUUGUCAUUCUUUGCCUUCUGUUGCUGUGCUCUCUUUUGCUGUGCUAUGCCUAGCUUUCCUACUUGCUUGCUCUGUAUUUACAUGCAUUGCUUUUGACUUGUUAUUCUCCUUUGUCCUCUGUUUCAUUAGUUUCCCUUCAACCCUCCCCCUUCCCUCACCCUACCUCCAAUUUUUUCCUUCCUACCCUCUCUCCUCUCCCCCCCAGCCACCCACACCCCCACUUACUCACCCCCCUCACCUCUGCCCCCUCUCCACCCCUCCUCCCUCCCCCCUCUCGCCCCCCUCACCCCCCUCUAGCCCCACUGCUCCUCCCCCUCUCCCCCCCCUCCUUCACUUCCCCUCCCCCCCCUCUCUUUUGCCCCCAUCCACUACCAUUCCCCCUUGCUUUAAGGGAAACUUACCUUUCCUGCUCUUCACUGACUUCUUGAUUCUCGUGGCUUUGGCUGCUAUUUUGCCUUGCUUUCCUUUGCUCUGCUAUGCAUUGCUUCUCUGUAUUUCUUGCCAUCCACUCCUUCCUUUGAGUUAUUCUUUACUUUUUCACUUGGCUUUUUUCUUCUUUUCUCUUUACCUUUCUUCUCUUGUCAUUAUUCGGUUUUUUGUUUGUUUUUUCUGUUUUCAUCUAUUAGUUUUUCUUUCUUUUUUCUUUUUUCUUUUUUUCAUAUUUUUCUCUUUUCUCUUUAUUUCUAUUUUCUCUUUUUUCUUUUCUCUUUUCUUUUUUAUCGUUUUUUUUUUUUUGUCUUUUCUUUUUUCUUUUUUGUUCAUUUUCUUUUUUCUUUUCUCCUUUUUGUCUUUUUUGUUCAAUUUCUUUUUUCUUUAUCUUUUUCUCUUUUUCAUUCAUUUUUUCUUUUUUCUUUUCAUUUUUUCUCUUUUUCUUAUUUUCUUUUCUUUUUUCUCUUUUUUCAUAUUUUUUGUUCUUAUUUUUUCUUUUCUUUCUUUUUUCAUCACAGGUUUGCCUUCAGCCCUCCCCUCAGCCCUUCCCUCCGCUCUGCUCUUCACCCAUCCCCUCCCCUCCCCAUCCCCUCUUUCCUCCCUUACCCUCCCCUUUCCCCUUGCCUUUGCCUCCCAGUACCUUGCCUGCCCUUCACUUACCUUCUCCUCACUUCCUGCUCUUGAUGCUAUGGGCUUUUGCUGCUACUCACGCCAAACCCCAACACUUGCCUACUCUGCGUGCUGCUCUGCCAAGUUGCUCUCUACUCUGCUCACAGCUUCACGCCUACUGCCUGCCCUUCUCUGUCCCCUUCUCGUGCCCUUCACGCUUUUCCUCCCCUUGCUGAGCAAGGCCAUGCCCGGUAGCUACCCUUGAACCUCCUCCGCCCUUUGCCUUCCUCCACAGAGAUGCUUGCUUCUGGCCAGCACUCCUGCCCGGUGCCUAGCCCACACACCUCAUCUCUUGGGGAGAUAGCAAGCUGGCCUGUAGCUACCCACACCUCCUCCCGGGCAUGGCUUCUCAGCUUUGCUUCAAGCCCAGAACCCAAAGGAGCUCCUCUUACCUUUUGGCCCACAUUCUUCUCCUCCCGCGCAGCUCCUGUGGCAAGCAGGGGCACAGCUCUGGCCAGAGUCCUCCAUUCCUGCAAGGUUGCUUUUUGUCAUUCUUUGCCUUCUGUUGCUGUGCUCUCUUUUGCUGUGCUAUGCCUAGCUUUCCUACUUGCUUGCUCUGUAUUUACAUGCAUUGCUUUUGACUUGUUAUUCUCCUUUGUCCUCUGUUUCAUUAGUUUCCCUUCAACCCUCCCCCUUCCCUCACCCUACCUCCAAUUUUUUCCUUCCUACCCUCUCUCCUCUCCCCCCCCAGCCACCCACACCCCCACUUACUCACCCCCCUCACCUCUGCCCCCUCUCCACCCCUCCUCCCUCCCCCCUCUCGCCCCCCUCACCCCCCUCUAGCCCCACUGCUCCUCCCCCUCUCCCCCCUCUCCUUCACUUCCCCUCCCCUCCCCUCUCUUUUGCCCCCAUCCACUACCAUUCCCCCUUGCUUUAAGGGAAACUUACCUUUCCUGCUCUUCACUGACUUCUUGAUUCUCGUGGCUCUGGCUGCUAUUUUGCCUUGCUUUCCUUUGCUCUGCUAUGCAUUGCUUUCUCUGUAUUUCUUGCCAUCCACUCCUUCCUUUGAGUUAUUCUUUACUUUUUCACUUGGCUUUUUUCUUCUUUUCUCUUUACCUUUCUUCUCUUGUCAUUAUUCGGUUUUUUGUUGGUUUUUUCUGUUUUCAUCUAUUAGUUUUUUCUUUUCUUUUUUUCUUUUUUCUUUUUUUCAUUUUUCUCUUUUCUCUUUUUAUUCUAUUUUCUCUUUUUCUUUCUUUUUUUUUCUUUUUUUUUUUUUUUCUCUUUUUUCUUUUUUGUUCAUUUUCUUUUUUCUUUUCUCUUUUUUUUUUUUGUUCAAUUUCUUUUUGUCUUUUAUCUUUUUUCUCUUUUUCAUUCAUUUUUUCUUUUUUUCUUUUCAUUUUUUCUCUUUUUCUUAUUUUUCUUUUCUUUUUUCUCUUUUUUCAUAUUUUUUGUUCUUAUUUUUUCUUUUCUUUUCUUUUUUCAUCACAGGUUUGCCUUCAGCCCUCCCCUCAGCCCUUCCCUCCGCUCUGCUCUUCACCCAUCCCCUCCCCUCCCCAUCCCCUCUUUCCUCCCUUACCCUCCCCUUUCCCCUUGCCUUUGCCUCCCAGUACCUUGCCUGCCCUUCACUUACCUUCUCCUCACUUCCUGCUCCUUGAUGCUAUGGGCUUUUGCUGCUACUCACGCCAAACCCCAACACUUGCCUACUCUGCGUGCUGCUCUGCCAAGUUGCUCUCUACUCUGCUCACAGCUUCACGCCUACUGCCUGCCCUUCUCUGUCCCCUUCUCGUGCCCUUCACGCUUUUCCUCCCCUUGCUGAGCAAGGCCAUGCCCGGUAGCUACCCUUGAACCUCCUCCGCCCUUUGCCUUCCUCCACAGAGAUGCUUGCUUCUGGCCAGCACUCCUGCCCGGUGCCUAGCCCACACACCUCAUCUCUUGGGGAGAUAGCAAGCUGGCCUGUAGCUACCCACACCUCCUCCCGGGCAUGGCUUCUCAGCUUUGCUUCAAGCCCAGAACCCAAAGGAGCUCCUCUUACCUUUUGGCCCACAUUCUUCUCCUCCGCGCAGCUCCUGUGGCAAGCAGGGGCACAGCUCUGGCCAGAGUCCUCCAUUCCUGCAAGGUUGCUUUUUGUCAUUCUUUGCCUUCUGUUGCUGUGCUCUCUUUUGCUGUGCUAUGCCUAGCUUUCCUACUUGCUUGCUCUGUAUUUACAUGCAUUGCUUUUGACUUGUUAUUCUCCUUUGUCCUCUGUUUCAUUAGUUUCCCUUCAACCCUCCCCCUUCCCUCACCCUACCUCCAAUUUUUUCCUUCCUACCCUCUCUCCUCUCCCCCCCAGCCACCCACACCCCCACUUACUCCCCCCCCUCACCUCUGCCCCCUCUCCACCCCUCCUCCCUCCCCCC
rnacentral:lncRNA from 7 species